rnacentral:sRNA from 1 species
GCGCACUCAUUCUCAAGUGGCUGACACCUCCUCUACCAGAGAGAAAACACUCGCAGGCCCCAGUGGCCCUAGUGGGCCUCCCCCGGGGCGGGUCUUAGCUUCACUCCCCAACCCUCUGCAAAAGAGCAGGCUCUCCCAGGAGCGCAAGUCCUGUCUGCAGUUCGCUGAUUUUCUCACCAGGGGCCGCUGCGCAUGGGCGACGAAGCGCGCGGGUUCCCAAGCCUCAGAGAGGCGGAAGCCGAUUGGUUGUCAGGCGAGGCGCGGGGGCGGAGCCUGGGAACUGGCCCGGAGUUGGGGGCUGGGAGCUCGCCCCCGGGCAGAGCCGGGUCGGACUGUUGUCGCCUCAGGCAGCUCCUGGGAGGCUAACGUUGUGUCCUGGGCCUCUGUUUAGACAGCUCUAGAACUGAGGCGAGUAGAGCAGCACUAAGGCCCGGAGAUCGGGGCAGGGCAGCUGCUGUCGCCGCCGCCGCAGGCCUGAGUUACCUGAGUAACUGCGGGUCAGGGACCCGCCCGACGGCCGGCGGUU